UAUUGCCAUCUUUCCUUUGGUUGCAGCUUUUUUUUUUUUUUUUUUCUUUAAAAUGUAACUCCCUCGCACUCGUCACGAAAUCAGCAGCAAAUGUUGCAAUCUGACUGGAUUUCCCUUCAAAGGGAGUACAGGAAAUAUCUUCCAUUUAAAACACUCCCUCAAAGUUACAGCCAUAAAUCACAAAGUUUAAAGACAAGCCAGUAGCAAAAUGAAAAUACUCAGCUGAAAUCCAGGGCAGCCGUGCUUAUUCUGGGGUUGGUGAAGGGGAAAAAAAAAAAAAACAACAAAACCAACAAAAACCAAAAAAAGUCACGUUGGGUGACUUUCGAGAAGGAAUGGCUUCCAAGCCUGAUGCAGAGGGAGAUACGGAGACACACACAGACAGGGGACCAGUAUGGUCGGAGGAUCUCCACGAAGGGGGGCAGGACGGAGAUGCUUUAUAGUGUACGAGGACACCAUUCACGCAGAAGUGAUUUGGUAUCAAAAUUAACGGUAUCGAGCCAUAAACAUUUUUAAAGCCACACUGAGAUUUAUGACCACAACUUUGGCACGGAGGACUCAGAAAGGGAGAAAGAAGGGGAGAAAGAAAAAGCAAUCUCAUUUAAAAAUAUUUUCGUUUUGGGAAACAUUCAGUCGCUUUAAUAAUCCUGUUUCCGUUCUGUAUGUUGAUGUUAUUAAUCUCAAAUAAAAAUGUUCCCCUCACACCCCUACUCUGCUUGUGACAACAUCCCCAAGUCCAUAAAUCACCCGCGGAUGCUUCGUGACCUUCUCUAGUCGGCGGCCUAUAGCUGUAUUUUUUAUUAGUAUUAUUAUUACAUGCGCGCACACUUUAAUACACAGCUUUGGCAAUAUUCCACUUACAUCAUAGCCUUCCCCGGUUAACUGGGGCUUUUCAGUUCCCUCUGUAGAGUACACACAGAGGUUUGUAAAGAGGGGGGGAAAAAAUAAAAAAAAAAAAAAAAAAAAAAAA